UGGCGGCAGGCCUAACACAUGCAAGUCGAGCGAGACCUUCGGGUCUAGCGGCGGACGGGUUAGUAACGCGUGGGAACGUGCCCUUCUCUGCGGAAUAGCCACUGGAAACGGUGAGUAAUACCGCAUACGCCCUUCGGGGGAAAGAUUUAUCGGAGAAGGAUCGGCCCGCGUUAGAUUAGAUAGUUGGUGGGGUAACGGCCUACCAAGUCUACGAUCUAUAGCUGGUUUUAGAGGAUGAUCAGCAACACUGGGACUGAGACACGGCCCAGACUCCUACGGGAGGCAGCAGUGGGGAAUCUUAGACAAUGGGCGCAAGCCUGAUCUAGCCAUGCCGCGUGUGUGAUGAAGGUCUUAGGAUCGUAAAGCACUUUCGCCAGGGAUGAUAAUGACAGUACCUGGUAAAGAAACCCCGGCUAACUCCGUGCCAGCAGCCGCGGUAAUACGGAGGGGGUUAGCGUUGUUCGGAAUUACUGGGCGUAAAGCGCGCGUA
rnacentral:rRNA from 1 species